rnacentral:rRNA from 1 species
CCCUUAGAUGUUCUGGGCGGCCCGCGCACUACAUUGGCACUCUCAAUAAGUUCCUAGAUCUAAAACUUUGGGGUAUUCUAUUAAGUGGUGUCGUGACUGGGAUUAACCCUUGCAAUUAUUGGUUACGAACGAGGAAUUCCUUGUAAUCGCGGUUUAUCAGCCCGCGUUGAAUGCGUCCCUGCCCUUUGUACACACCGCCCGUCGCUCCUACCGAUGAAUCGUCCGGUGAAGUUCAUGGAGUGGUGGUUGUUCCAGCUGCUGUCGAAGUGAAAUGGACCUCGCGAUUUAGAGGAAGGAGAAGUCGUAACA